GUGGGGAAUAUUGGACAAUGGGCGAAAGCCUGAUCCAGCCAUGCCGCGUGUGUGAAGAAGGUCUUCGGAUUGUAAAGCACUUUAAGUUGGGAGGAAGGGCAUUAACCUAAUACGUUAGUGUUUUGACGUUACCGACAGAAUAAGCACCGGCUAACUUCGUGCCAGCAGCCGCGGUAAUACGAAGGGUGCAAGCGUUAAUCGGAAUUACUGGGCGUAAAGCGCGCGUAGGUGGUUCGUUAAGUUGGAUGUGAAAGCCCCGGGCUCAACCUGGGAACUGCAUCCAAAACUGGCGAGCUAGAGUACGGUAGAGGGUGGUGGAAUUUCCUGUGUAGCGGUGAAAUGCGUAGAUAUAGGAAGGAACACCAGUGGCGAAGGCGACCACCUGGACUGAUACUGACACUGAGGUGCGAAAGCGUGGGGAGCAAACAGGAUUAGAAACCCUAGUAGUCC
rnacentral:rRNA from 1 species